AAUUAAAUUUUGCAAUUAAAUUUUGCAAUUAAAUUUUAGCUUUAUAAUAAUAUCAUAUUUUGUAAAGAGAAAGAUGGAAUUUUUGGUAUAUGCCUCGGGCGGCAGAAACCGACAUACGCCAAUGCUAAUUUUAUUUUAUCACCAAGAUCAAGAUUCUCUUUUGUUUGGCUACACGGUUACACACUCGUGAUCUAAUUCCAAACAAAAGAAUAGGCCCUCGCGGCUUCUGUGUCAACGGGACCUAGUAGUGUCAUGCUGACGCGGCAUGAAAAAAGUGCCGACCCUCCGGUGACAUUCAUUUAUUAAGGAAAUAAACUUAUAUAAAUAGAUAAACGCCUAAUCUGUAAUUGCAUUGAAUCUGUAUUCGUACAUUAGUAAGUAAAUAUGAAGAAAUUGCGGGUGCUUCUUUUGGUAUAUUUCAUUUGUGUCAACGAAAUGUUCGACGGGGUCGAAUCGUCGGGAAAAACCAGUGGCGGGAAAACGACGGACGUGAAACACAAAGAUCGUCAUGUCAGGGAAUGUCAACCGAGAGAAAUUGUAGGUAUUUGCAAGAUACAGUGCAUGAUACUGAAAAAGCGAUUUUGUGAAAAAAAAUCACUCAAGUGCAAAUGUCCGUAGAAAGUUUAACACGUUUUUACAUAAUGCACUCCAUCAUAAACGCAUUAGAGAAUAGAGACGACAUUUCCGAUAUUUGUCAUAGAUGAAAUGCAAUUAUGGUUUCAUGAGUACAAAAAUAAAAUUUAAAAUCUUAA